CCUACGGGGGGCAGCAGUGAGGAAUAUUGGUCAAUGGACGAGAGUCUGAACCAGCCAAGUAGCGUGAAGGAUGACUGCCCUAUGGGUUGUAAACUUCUUUUAUAUGGGAAUAAAACGUUCCACGUGUGGGAUUUUGUAUGUACCAUAUGAAUAAGGAUCGGCUAACUCCGUGCCAGCAGCCGCGGUAAUACGGAGGAUCCGAGCGUUAUCCGGAUUUAUUGGGUUUAAAGGGAGCGUAGGUGGAUUGUUAAGUCAGUUGUGAAAGUUUGCGGCUCAACCGUAAAAUUGCAGUUGAAACUGGCAGUCUUGAGUACAGUAGAGGUGGGCGGAAUUCGUGGUGUAGCGGUGAAAUGCUUAGAUAUCACGAAGAACUCCGAUUGCGAAGGCAGUUCACUGGACUGCAACUGACACUGAGGCUCGAAAGUGUGGGUAUCAAACAGGAUUAGAUACCCGUGUAAUC
rnacentral:rRNA from 1 species